rnacentral:rRNA from 1 species
UUGGAGGGCAGUCUGGUGCCAGCAGCCGCGGUAAUUCCAGCUCCAAUAGCGUAUAUUAAAGUUGUUGCAGUUAAAAAGCUCGUAGUUGAAUUUCGGGAUCAAAUUGUCGGUCGUGCCUCGGUACGCACUGGUAUUAUUGGUUCCUACCUUCUGAAGAACCGCGAUGUCAUUAAUUUGGUGUCGUGGGGAAUCAGGACUGUUACUUUGAAAAAAUUAGAGUGUUUAAAGCAGGCUUACGCUUGAAUACAUUAGCAUGGAAUAAUGAAAUAGGACGUUUGAUUCUAUUUUGUUGGUUUCUAGGAUUGACGUAAUGAUUAAUAGGGAUAGUUGGGGGCAUUAGUAUUCAAUUGUCAGAGGUGAAAUUCUUGGAUUUAUUGAAGACUAACUACUGCGAAAGCAUUUGCCAAGGAUGUUCUCAUUAAUCAAGAACGAAAGUUAGGGGAUCGAAGACGAUCAGAUACCGUCGUAGUCUUAACCAUAAACUAUGCCGACUAGGGAUCGGAUGAUGUUAAUUUUUUAAUGACUCAUUCGGCGCCUUACGGGAAAC